AAGAGCUUGUAGUACAAUAUCUGUCGAUAGAUAAAAGAAUCUUCUACUAUCAUUAACACUGGAAGUUUAGUCAUAGUAAGGAAUAAGGCGAGAAAUUCAAGCAUUUGACUUACUUACGAAUAUAAAGUAUGUAUUCAGUGAACACAGAAAACUUUGGAAUAACAAUUUAUAUAUUUUUUUGAUUUAUAUUGGAAAUUUGCUACCGAUAAAAAGGAAACAUGAAUGUAAUUUUCUUCGGCUGUUGAUAAUGGGAUUGCGUGGGUGUUAGAUCAAUAAGUUGUCCAUGCUUUGUGUAUAUUGUGAGUUUGUGUUUACAACGGGAAAGUUAAAUGAAGAUCAAUUGACGAUGUCCUUGUAAUACAAUGUAAUAUUUUCCAGUGAUAUUUGAGGUAUUCUAUCAGCAAAUACAAGCGACUGAUUCCAUUGAUCAGGAAAGUCAUCAACAUUUAGCGUGGGUGGAAAAGCAGAGCUUCAGAGUUACGUAUGGUUUUUAUCUUAAUUAUAUAAAGUCAAUAUGCAUUUGAAAGUUUCUGAUAAUUUGUGAAAGGAUGCUGUUUUAAUCACAAAUUAAAUUGUUUUUAGUCGGGGAUUAAACAUUGGUUCGCUCAUGUAUUGCUUCUUGUAAGAAAUACAUGAAACAGAUCAUUCUUUUUAUACAUAUUGUUACAAACACUUAAAAAACUAUUUAUUCUACAGUAUAAUAAAAAGGCAAAAG